UACAGAGGUGGCAAGCGUUGUUCGGAAUUACUGGGCGUAAAGGGCGCGUAGGCGGCCCUCUUAGUCGCGUGUGAAAGCCCCGGGCUCAACCUGGGAACGGCGCGCGAAACGGGAGGGCUGGAGUUCGGGAGAGGAGAGUGGAAUUCCCAGUGUAGAGGUGAAAUUCGUAGAUAUUGGGAAGAACACCGGUGGCGAAGGCGGCUCUCUGGACCGAGACUGACGCUGAGGCGCGAAAGCGUGGGGAGCAAACAGG
rnacentral:rRNA from 1 species